UACAACCCAUCACGCUCUCGAAGAUCUCAAAACUCCAGACUUUUGAUAACACCUAGAAUAACCAAAUCCACCAAAGGGGGCGGAGCUUUCUCAUGCGUAGCACCUAAACUCUGGAAUAGCCUUCCCAAUACUAUUCGAGGGUCAGACACACUCUCCUAAUUUAAAUCUAGAUUAAAGACACAUCUUUUCAUUCACUUAAUGCAAAAUAUGCUAAAUAAACCACCAGGAGACUGCAUUUAUUAGAUAUUAUUUACUAGAAUAACCUUGCUUGUUCUAUAAACACCAUGCACUGUGCUGUGUUUGACCUUUUUUUUCAGUUUUUCUUUUUUUCUCCUGUAAAGCUGCUUUGGAACAAUGCACAUUGUGAAAAGCGCUAUAUAAAUAAAAUUGAAUUGAAUUGAAGCUGUGGACCGCAAGAUUGUGAAUGAUGACAUCACUUCUUUCAUCUCUGCUGUUUGCCUAAUGUUCGGCAGUUAUUACUGCUCCAACAUUCACUACCCUACUGAACUGGCGUCAGUGCUUGAAUUCCUGCAAAGGUGUUUUUCAUCAUCAAUCCGGAGAAAGGGAAUAAAGGAGGUGGAAAAGAAAAACAAAAAGCUACUCCCAGUUAACCCAAGAGUCUUCAUCCUAAUCUCUGACCUUUCUGAUCAUGAAUGGCGAGAGACUUCGUAAAGGUGG